CCGGAGGUUACUGCUAUCGGUGUUCGCCUAAGCCAUGCGAGUCAUAUGUAGCAAUACAUGGCGUACUGCUCGGUAACACGUGGAUAACCUGCCCUUGGGUCCGGCAUAACCCCGGGAAACUGGGGAUAAUUCCGGAUAACGCAUAUGUGCUGGAAUGCUUUAUGCGUCAAAUGGAUUCGUCCGCCCAAGGAUGGGUCUGCGGCCUAUCAGGUAGUAGUGGGUGUAAUGUACCUACUAGCCGACAACGGGUACGGGUUGUGAGAGCAAGAGCCCGGAGAUGGAUUCUGAGACAUGAAUCCAGGCCCUACGGGGCGCAGCAGGCGCGAAAACUUUACAAUGCGGGAAACCGUGAUAAGGGGACACCGAGUGUCAGCAUCAUAUGCUGGCUGUCCAGGUGUGUAAAAUACACCUGUUAGCAAGGGCCGGGCAAGACCGGUGCCAGCCGCCGCGGUAACACCGGCGGCCCGAGUGGUGAUCGUGAUUAUUGGGUCUAAAGGGUCCGUAGCCGGUUUGGUCAGUCCUCCGGGAAAUCUGAUAGCUCAACUAUUAGGCUAUCGGGGGAUACUACCAGACUUGGAACCGGGAGAGGUAAGAGGUACUACAGGGGUAGGAGUGAAAUCUUGUAAUCCCUGUGGGACCACCUGUGGCGAAGGCGUCUUACCAGAACGGGUUCGACGGUGAGGGACGAAAGCUGGGGGCACGAACCGGAUUAGAUACCCGGGUAGUCCCAGCCGUAAACGAUGCUCGCUAGGUGUCAGGCAUGGCGCGACCGUGUCUGGUGCCGCAGGGAAGCCGUGAAGCGAGCCACCUGGGAAGUACGGCCGCAAGGCUGAAACUUAA
rnacentral:rRNA from 1 species